rnacentral:snRNA from 1 species
GUGCUCGCUUCGGCAGCACAUAUACGAAAAUUGGAACGGUAUAAGAAGAUUAGCAUAGCCCUGCGCAAGGAUGACACACAAAUUCGUGAAGCAUUCCAUAUUUCA